rnacentral:lncRNA from 1 species
UACUGGAAUAUUUCGCAAGAGAUUUUGUUAUCCCCCUGAGUGGAAUGAGCAGAACCAAUUGGACAUUUUAUACAGCAACAGAAAUAUUUGAAAAAUGACUUGAGCAUGUCCACUUCCAGAGAAAGAACUGGGUCCACAGAUCAUAGUGAUGGUGUCCCAGACCAAGGUAGGGUGUUCUACUUGACAGAGAAACUAACUUUUAUUUUUUA